GACAGAGGCCCCAAGCGUUAAUCGGAAUUACUGGGCGUAAAGCGUGCGCAGGCGGUUUUGUAAGUCUGUCGUGAAAUCCCCGGGCUCAACCUGGGAAUUGCGAUGGAGACUGCAAGGCUGGAGUCUGGCAGAGGGGGGUAGAAUUCCACGUGUAGCAGUGAAAUGCGUAGAGAUGUGGAGGAACACCGAUGGCGAAGGCAGCCCCCUGGGUCAAGACUGACGCUCAUGCACGAAAGCGUGGGGAGCAAACAGG
rnacentral:rRNA from 1 species